rnacentral:misc_RNA from 1 species
AAGACUAUAGACCUGCGGAGUACCUGCGGAAGGAUCAUUAACACGUAUCCAAACGUAUAAACCCCAUUAUGCGAAACACAAUCCGCGCCCUGACCGUGUCCGAGCCACUCGAUAUGGCUUGGCAGCCUGCAGUUGGGAACGGCUGUAUGGCUGGAGCUCUGUCCUGGUUCUCUUCUCUCGGGGAGUGCCUUGAACAUCCGCAUGGUAGGUGCUGCCUUUUUUUCCACACCAACACCUUCU